rnacentral:lncRNA from 1 species
GGAGCUCCCCCGGGGUCACAGUGACCUUGAUGCGAACGCGCGGGCUCGGAGGAACCCCCACUUUCCCGCGCGCCCCAGGGGCGUGCGGGGACGGGGAGCGCGGCGCCGGCGUGCCCACACGCGUGUGGCAAAAUAAGACCAGGCCGGGUCCGCACCAGCUUUUUCGUAUCAUUCGCGAUUCCCCGCCCCGCCCCGGUGCCGGAACCCGAGGUGCCGCUGUGCGCUCUCCCCGCCCGCUCAUCCCGAGCCCCGACGUGGCGGGCAGCGCCCCCAGACCACAGCGAGGCGGCUUCCUGGAGGGCGGAGGGGCGGGGUUCUACCCCAGCUGGGCACUUCCUUGCUGCGGACCUUGCUCUGGGCCGGCCUCUCUCCGGACCUGUGUCCUGCUCCAAGCGCACCUUGCCCAGUCUCCUCGAAACUGCAGUCCCUGCUGGGACCCGCGUGCUUCUGUGCUCCAGAGAGGGAAAAUACAGCAGUCAGGUGCUUGCUAGAGCUGUGGAGAGACACCUGGAAAUUGUGCAGUAGCGAUCACCGUUACUUGCGGAGGACCAGGUGGGAGAACUGAGGCCUAACCGACCUCCUUUGUGAGCACAAAGGAGAAAGGCAGUGUGCAGGUGUGACGGCACCUUGCG